UGGGGAAUAUUGCACAAUGGGCGCAAGCCUGAUGCAGCCAUGCCGCGUGUGUGAAGAAGGCCUUCGGGUUGUAAAGCACUUUCAGCGGGGAGGAAGGCGAUAAGGUUAAUAACCUCAUCGAUUGACGUUACCCGCAGAAGAAGCACCGGCUAACUCCGUGCCAGCAGCCGCGGUAAUACGGAGGGUGCAAGCGUUAAUCGGAAUUACUGGGCGUAAAGCGCACGCAGGCGGUUUGUUAAGUCAGAUGUGAAAUCCCCGGGCUCAACCUGGGAACUGCAUCUGAUACUGGCAAGCUUGAGUCUCGUAGAGGGGGGUAGAAUUCCAGGUGUAGCGGUGAAAUGCGUAGAGAUCUGGAGGAAUACCGGUGGCGAAGGCGGCCCCCUGGACAAAGACUGACGCUCAGGUGCGAAAGCGUGGGGAGCAAACAGG
rnacentral:rRNA from 1 species